GUCUUUUGUGGCUGUGUUCGGAUUCCAAGUACAAUCCAUUAACAUCUGAUCUCUGCACUUACCAUCAUUUCAGCAAGCUAACCGCAUAUUUUUUUUCUUUACCCGUAGAAACCUCCGCGCCAUGAGAGCGAAGGUAAGGAGUCCCUGCCAGUGAGCUGAGGCUGUAAGAAUUGGCGAUUUGGGGGUAGACCUUGGCAGGGGAAGUCCGCCAUCGUUCCGGGACCUCCGGGUUCUCAAGGGUGUCCAGGAGCUAGUGAGAGAGGAAGGAUAGUUUAGGGAGAAGCAGAGGAGGUGGUGGGUAAGUGCUUUGAUGAGAGAGGCUGGGAGUGGGAGAGAGGGCGGGAGUAGAAGAGCGCGUGCGGAAUUCGGUCUGGGAUCCGGAUGGGAGUCGAAAUUGUUGAUGUGGUUACAGCGACUAAGCCCUCAUACUUGGUCAAGAAUACACCUGGUUUUAAAUAAUGCUCUUCGCAUCCCUACCUAAACUUGUUACUAAAACUAAUGAUAUCUUGUUUUAUUCUCUGCCUCUGGUUAUGACCGGUUGCCAGUGGAGGAAGAAGCGAAUGCGCAGGCUGAAGCGCAAAAGAAGAAAGAUGAGGCAGAGGUCCAAGUAAACUUGUACACGCAUGGAAGCCGCAGGAGCAGAAACAAGGGAAGCCAGAGGCCAGGGACGUUGGUACAAAUUGUUGGACUGCAUGCCUCCUGUCUAGAACUUGUCUCAGUGGAUCUGAAACAUCUAUGACCAUUCUGAUCGCCUCGACCACCUCUGAGAGACCCACCUUGCUCAUAUCAAAACGGUCCCUUUUAGUCCUUUGCCCUGGACCUGUGACACUCUGGACUGGUUCUUUUCUCACUUGUGGCUGAAUGUAACGUGUACAAUAAAUCAUCUCUUUUGCUGUCUUAGCUGAAGAAAAAAUUU